rnacentral:rRNA from 1 species
CCCUUAGAUGUUCUGGGCCGCACGCGCGCUACACUGUUCGACGCAGCGAGUCUUAACCUUGACCGAAAGGUUUGGGUAAUCUUCAGCAAAGUCGAACGUGAUGGGGAUCGAUCAUUGCAAUUAUUGAUCGUGAACGAGGAAUUCCUAGUAAGUGCAAGUCAUCAGCUUGCGCUGAUUACGUCCCUGCCCUUUGUACACACCGCCCGUCGCUACUACCGAUUGAAUGGUUUAGUGAGAUCUCUGGAUGGACGCUGGCUAGGGGGCGACCCUUGGCCAGACUGUUGAGAAACUGCUCAAACUUGAUCAUUUAGAGGAAGCAAAAGUCGUAACA